AGGACUGAGGGGCAGCGAGGUGGCCGCGGCGGACACGCUGCUGGGCAGACAAACGCACCGGGGACGGGAAGGCGACACACGGCAGGAAAUGACAUCCCCUAAAGCACCUGUCCUCAGAAGCAGCAACCGGCGGGUCUCAGGUUGGGAGGCCUCCUUGCCCUCCGUGAAGGGAGAAAGCAGCCCCGGGCCGCAGUACUAAAAGAACACCCAGGGAGAACAGUCUUUCUGCAAGUAUCUGGGGACUUACACAGCAGUUUCAAGCACAGCCGCCCUGAGGAAUGCAAUAGCACCGUCCACACCGCUUUAAGGAAAAAAGGAAGAGACAGGUAAGAUGACCAGUUCACACAAGGAGAAGGAGUACAGAGGAAAACAGAGUAAGAAAUCAGGUACAGCAUCAUGAUCAGUUCCACAGAAUGCAAUAAUUUUACCUUGGCACUGGAGGAAGGGCACGAGGCGGGCACUGAAAGAGAAGAGACAAAAGUCAGCUUCUGCCAGCAUGAAACCAC